GCCAAGACCUCCAAGGAACAAUAGGACUACUAAUACUUCAUCAAAACCAUGCAUGGGUUUCUUUCUCAGUAAGCUUUUGUAUUUGUCCCAUGCCUGGGCUAGGGUUUCUUCCAUGCCUUGCCUGAAAGAGGAAAUUUCCUGUUUACCUUUGUUGAUUUUGGACCGUGGGAAGUACUUGUUCAGAAAUUUAGACACCACAGCUUCCCAGUCAGUAAAGUUAUCCUCAAGGAAAGAGUUCAACCAUAGCU
rnacentral:lncRNA from 1 species